ensembl:lncRNA
AUGGUUCCAGCCUCUGGUUCCAGCCUCUGGUUCCAGCCUCUGGGUCCAGCCUCUGGUUCCAGCCUUUGGUUCCAGCCUCUGGUUCCAGCCUCUGGGUCCAGCUUAUGGUUCCAGCCCCUGGGUCCAGCCUCUGGGUCCAGCCUCUGGUUCCAACCUCUGGGUCCAGCCUCUGGUUCCAGCCUCUGGGUCCAGCCUUUGGUUCCAGCCUCUGGUUCCAGCCUCUGGGUCCAGCUUUUGGUUCCAGCCCCUGGGUCCAGCCUCUGGUUCCAGCCUCUGGUUCUAUGCUCUGAGUCCAGCCUCUGGUUCCAGCCUCUGGGUCCAGCCUUUGGUUCCAGCCUCUGGGUCCAGCCUCUGGGUCCAGCCUCUGGUUCCAGCCUCUGGGUCCAGCCUCUGGUUACAGCCUCUGGUUCCAGUCCUUGGUUCCAGCCUUUGGUUCCAGCCUCUGGCUCCAGCCUUUGGUUCCAGACCAUGGGUCCAGCCUCUGGGUAUAGCCUCUGGUUCUAUCCUUUGGUUCGAUCUUCUGGGUCCAGCCUCUGGUUCGAUCUUCUGGGUCCAGCCUCUGGUUCCAGCCUUUGGUUCCAGCCUCUGGUUCCAGCCUUUGGGUCCAUCCUCUGGGUUCAGACUCUGGGUCCAUCCUCUGGGUCCAGACUCUGGAUCCAGCCUCUGGGUUCAGUUUCUGGUUCCAGCCUCUGGGUCCAUCCUCUGGGUCCAGCCUCUGGUUCGAUCUUCUGGGUCCAGCCCUUGGUUCCAGCCUCUGGGUCCAGCCUCUGGUUCGAUCUUCUGGGUCCAGCCUCUGGUUUCAGCCUCUGGUUCCAGCCUCUGGGUCCAGCCUAUGGUUCCAGCCUCUGGUUCCAGCCUCUGGGUCCAGCCUCUGGUUCCAGCCUCUGGGUCCAGCCUCUGGUUCUAUGCUCUGAGUCCAGCCUCUGGUUCGAUCUUCUGGGUCCAGCCUUUGGGUCCAGCCUCUGGGCCCAGCCUCUGGUUCGAUCUUCUGGGUCCAGCCUCUGGUUCGAUCUUCUGGGUUCAGCCUCUGGUUCUAUCCUUUGGUUCCAGCCUCUGGGUCCAGCCUUUGGUUCGAUCUUCUGGUUCCAGCCUUUGGUUCUAGACCUCUGGAUCCAGCCUUUGGUUCCAGCCUUAGGUUCCAGCCUUUGGGUCCAUCCUCUGGGUUCAGACUCUGGGUCCAUCCUCUGGGUCCAGACUCUGGGUUCAGCUUCUGGUUCCAGCCUCUGGGUUCAUCCUCUGGGUCCAGCCUCUGGUUCGAUCUUCUGGGUCCAGCCUCUGGUUCUAUCCUUUGGUUCCAGCCUCUGGUUCCAGCCUUUGGUUCCAGCCUCUGGGUCCAGCCUCUGGUUCCAGCCUCUGGGUCCAGCCUUUGGUUCCAGCCUCUGGGUCCAGCCUCUGGUUCAAGCCUCUGAUUCCAGCCUUUGGUUCCAGCCUCCGGUUCCAGCCUUUGGUUCCAGCCUCUGGUUCCAGCCUUUGGUUCCAGCCUCUGGUUCCAGCCUUUGGUUCCAGACCUCUGGAUCCAGCCUUUGGUUCCAGCCUCUGGUUCCAGCCUCUGGUUCCAGCCUUUGGGUCCAUCCUCUGGGUUCAGACUCUGGGUCCAUCCUCUGGGUCCAGACUCUGGAUCCAGCCUCUGGGUUCAGCUUCUGGUUCCAGCCUCUGGGUUCAUCCUCUGGGUCCAGCCUCUGGUUCCAGCCUUUGGUUCCAGCCUCUGGGUCCAGCCUCUGGUUCCAGCCUCUGCUUCGAUCUUCUGGGUCCAGCCUCUGGUUCGAUCUUCUGGGUUCAGCCUCUGGUUCCAGCCUUUGGUUCCAGCCUCUGGUUCCAGCCUCUGGUUCCAGCCUCUGGUUCCAGCCUCUGGUUCCAGCCUUUGGUUCCAGCCUUUGGGUCCAUCCCCUGGGUUCAGACUCUGAGUCCAUCUUCUGGGUCCAGCCUCUGGUUCCAGCCCCUGGGUCCAGCCUCUGGUUCCAGCCUCUGGUUCUAUGCUCUGAGUCCAGCCUCUGGUUCCAGCCUCUAGGUCCAGCCUCUGGUUCCAGCCUCUGGGUCCAGCCUCUGGUUACAGCCUCUGAGUCCAGCCUCUGGUCCCAGCCUCUGGUUCCUUGCUCUGAGUCUAUCUUCUGGGUCCAGCCUCUGGUUCCAGCCCCUGGGUCCAGCCACUGGUUCCAGCCUCUGGUUCCAGCCCUUGGGUCCAUCCUCUGGGUUCAGACUCUGGGUCCAUCCUCUGGGUCCAGACUCUGGAUCCAGCUUCUGGUUUCAGCUUCUGGUUCCAGCCUCUGGGUCCAUCCUCUGGGUCCAGCCUCUGAUUCGAUCUUCUGGGUCCAGCCUCUGGUUCUAUCCUUUGGUUCCAGCCUCUGGUUCCAGCCUCUGGUUCCAGCCUCUGGGUCCAGCCUCUGGUUCCAGCCUCUGGGUCCAGCCUCUGGGUCCAGCCUUUGGUUCCAGCCUCUGGGUCCAGCUUUGGUUCCAGCCUCUGGUUCCAGCCUCUCGGUCCAGCCUUUGGUUCCAGCCCCUGGGUCCAGCCUUUGGUUCCAGCCUCUGGUUCCAGACUCUGGGUCCAUCCUCUGGGUCCAGACUCUGGGUCCAGCCUUUGGUUCCAGCCCCUGGGUCCAGCCUUUGGUUCCAGCCUCUGGUUCCAGACUCUGGGUCCAUCCUCUGGGUCCAGACUCUGGAUCCAGCCUCUGGGUCCAUCCUCUGGGUCCAGCCUCUGGUUCAAUCUUCUGGGUCCAGCCUCUGGUUCUAUCCUUUGGUUCCAGCCUCUGGUUCCAGCCUUUUUUUCCAGCCUCUGGGUCCAGCCUCUGGUUCCAGCCUCUGGGUCCAGUCUUCGGUUCCAGCCUCUAG